UGAUGAUCUGCCAAAGACCUGCAUACAGUUUGGAAUAGAACACCUGGGCUCGGAGGCUACAGCCCACAGAUGGAGACGGUGAGAAUGCCAUUAAAGAGCCAGCUGACCACUACUACAUAGGAAGACGCCUUAUGGAAUUUCUUAGACACCACCAUGAAACUGAUGAUCUGAUUCAUCCCCAGAAUUCCAGCCAUUAGGGCAUCAGGUUGGCUCCAGGCAGCUAUUUGACAUAAGAGUCUUACUCUAUCACCCUGGGUAGA